rnacentral:lncRNA from 1 species
UAGGAGGUGCAGAGUAAGUGUCUGCUAACAUGAUCCCACCCCCAAAAACACUGGCAAUGCUGGCACAUUUGUACUGUCAGGGAAGGAUUCAUCCCGUGAGGGAGAAGGACUGACUUGUACAGACUCUUAUCUCCUGUUCUUGGGGGAACAUUAAGAAAUAAAAGAUAACCGUUCUUCCCUGACUGUCCCCACAGCUAGUUGAGCUUUUUAUGUCGUAAACCACUUUGUCUCUCCUUUAUUUUUCUUGCUACUUCCCUCUCCCACAUUUCAUGACUGUCUCUGUUAAACUUCAAAAGAGAAGAAUAGAUAUCAUCCUCUGUAGGAGAGUACUGCCCAAUAGAUAAAAUGAUCAGUUAUUUGGCUAAAAGGAUUUUCUCUAAUCUCUUCAAUGGAGAAGGUUCGGAGGACGUCAUGUUCUGCCACGUUGUACACUUUGCAGCGUGACCCUUUACUACUUGCUCUCUGGGGUUGGAUCAGCCUUGGCUAGGUGUUGCAGUCCAGCCCAAAAUCAGAUCUCUUGCACAGAGAUUCUGAGCUGAAUCCAACAUGUCAAAUGUUCUUAAUCUCUCUUGCAUUCUCUUAACACACAAGCAUUGUCUUCUUUCGGCCUUUAAGGAAAAUGUUGAAGACAGGACCAAAUGAUGGGUGAUAGCCAUCGUAAGUGGCCUGGGGAGCAGUGAGAUACUCCCUUGUGAGUACCUCACCCCACGACACAGGAAAGCCAAAGUUUCCAUGUGGGUAUCAGAACCUGGUUAUGUAUAACAUGAACAAACUUCUAUCUGCUCUGCAAGCUGCAGGACUCUGAUUUCCUCUUAAAAUACAUGGUUUUGAUCAUAGUUUUAAGUAAUAAUGUUCUUUGGUGAUAAUAAUGUGAUAGCACAAAGGCCUGUGUCCUUGACUAGAGCAGAGAAUUUGAGUACUGACAAUGCUCACCUUUGGGAAGAUUCAGCUGUCAUUUGCAUGUUAACAGUUUCAAAGAACUGGCCACAGUUGUCCCCAGCUCUGUUAUAGUGCACACACCACAGGCAUUCAUUGCUUCUGACAGGAGUUAGAACUAGUAGAAUGUCUUCAAGACUCUGCUGUCACAAUGAUGUCACAGUGCUUUAGACCUUUCGCUUGUUUAUUAGCUUGUGUAUAUAUAGCAUUAGAUGCUUCAUUUCCCUAUUUCCUCUGUUUUGCAAUAAACUAUCAUGGCAGGGAUGGCCUUUUUUUUUUUUUUUUUUUUUUGCUGCAUUGCCCCGAGGCUAUGAGCCAAUGUGCCAGGUGCUAGGAAUAAAUGAGCAGGGAAAAAAAGUGACUAUCGAUGGCAUUAUAGAGCUUACCAUCUAAUUAAAAAGAAAGAAUUAAUAGCAAAGAAAUGAUAGGCAGCAUCAAUUGGAAAGGAAAUAUAGUGUGCUGGAGAAUGAGCAAAUCUUAGGUUAAAUAUCAAUAAUGAAGUGAAUUUGGUUAGAGGUUUUGGAAAGAGAAGUUAAAACUAUGUACUCAAGUAUAUGUAGGAAUAUUGUACAUAUUAUUUUCAUAAAAGAAUCUAUUGAUUCAGUAGGAUUAGAUGAAAUUGAUGGCUUGAUCAUCAAGAUAUUUAGAUAUUAAGUCAAAAGUGUGCCAAUGGUACUGAACUUAUAAUCACAAAAGUAUAAGAAUUACUGGAUAUAUGGAGCUCAGUGAUGGCACUGAAUGGCCUCCAUGUGCCUUGUAUGGCAUUAACUUAACUAGGUAAAUGUUAAAGACCUCAUACUGCCUUGUCUGCUCUACUGGUCAGCCUUGUAGACUCUUCUGAUUGAGGGAUUCCUAACAUUGAGAGGUGGCAGAAGUCAUUUUCCAGGUGGUGUAUUGAAUGAGUUGGAGCAGCCUAAUUUUUCAGUUGCUCUUCUGAUCCUUUGCCUCAACAAAAAGGGCUGAGUCAGCACUCUAAGGGGCAGAAGAGGAAUGGAUAUAUAUAUUAGAGAGCCAAAACCUUGGUAAAAGAGCCAUUGAGCAGAAAGAGCAGAAAAAGGCUAAUAACUCCAGCACCUUUUUAAAAGGAUAUACACAUAUGAUUUGGUGGACUGAGUAGAACUGAGGUGGCAGUUCCCUCUCUCUCAGUAAUAUGACGUGCCAUCCUUAGUUAAAUCAGGCUGCUUUAACAAAAUACCAUAGGCUAAUAGCUGAAACAAGAGACAUUUAUUCCUCACAGUUCAGAAGGCUGGGAAGUCCAAGGUCAAGGUGCCAGCUGACUCACUUCCCAAUUAGAACUUGUUUCGUGACUUGCAUCCAACUGCUUUCUAGCUGAGUCCUCACAUAAUGGUAAGAAACGGAGAGCUCUGGUCUUUCUUCCUCUUUCUAUGAGGACCCUAAUCCCACCCUGUUGGCCCCACACUCAUGGCCUCUUUUAAACCUUAUUAACUCACAAAGAUCCUAUCUCCAAAUCAGAUGACUUCAACAUGUGAAUUUUGGGGGACACAAGAUUCAGUCCAUAACAACUGCUUUAAAUACUCUUUUUUUCCAUGACCUAACAUGGAGAUACUCUGACAGCAUAAUUACUCUAUUUCUAUAUCUGUAUCUAGAAAAGACUGUUGCCCCAAUAUUGCAUUUUCUCUUUUUUAGUAACAGUGGAAUACCUAAUAUUUAGAGGUGAGUUGUUGAGUUUCCACACCUCUUGUGAUUUUUCUGGAUGGUUUUCUCUUACUGAUUUCUACUUAAUUCUGUUUGGGCCUAAGCACACUUUGAAUAAUUUCAGUUCUUUAAAUUUGAUGAGAUCUGUUUUAUUUUAUUUUUUAAGGGCCACACCCACAGCAUAUGGAAAUUCACAAGCUAGGAAUCAAAUCAGAGCUACACCUGCCAGCUUACUCCACAGGUACAACAACAUGGGAUUGGAGCCACAUCUGCAACCUACACAGAGCUCAUGGCAACACCAGAUCCUUAACCCAUUGAGCAAGGCCAGGGAUUGAACCCACAUCCUCAUGGAUUCUAGUUGGGUUCGUUACUGCUGAGCCAUGAAAGGAACUCCUGAGGUUUGUUUUACAGUGCAGAACAUGGUCAAUUUUAUGUUCAAUGCACAUUUGAAAGAAUAUGUAUUCUGCUUUAAUUAGGUGGAAUGUUCUAGAAAUGUCAGGUAAAGUUGAUUGUUAGCAUUCUUCAGAUUUCCUAUAUCCUUACUGGUUUUAUAUCUACCUGCUUUAGCAAUUGCUGAAAGAGAAAUAUUGAAGUAUUCAAAUGUAGUUCUGGAUGUGUCUCUUUCUCCUUUCAGUUUCAUCAGAUUUUGCCUCAUAUAUUUUGUAGCUGUGUUAUUAGGUAUAUGAAUAUUCAGUUUCCCUCCAAGUAUUGACUCCUUUGUCAUCAUUUAAUAUAUCUCUAUUCUCUGGGUACCAUUGUUUUCUCUGCUGCUAUUAAUACAGCUACUUCAGUUUUCUUUAGGUUUUUAUUUACAUGGUAUAUCUUUUUUCUGUUUUUGUUUUUUAACGUAUUAUUUAUAACUGAGGUUGAUUUACCAUGGAUAGUAUGUACUUGUUAUUGCUUUUUUUAAUCCACUGUAAAAUCUAACAUUUAAUUGGUGUUUUUAGGCAAUUUAAUAUAAUAAUCGAUAUAUUUGGGUUAAAGACUACUAUCCACCUAGCUUUUUAAAUUCAUUAGCAGUUAUUCUUUGUUCUUUUUCCUUCUUUUCCUGCCUUAUUUUUAAUUUUUAAAGUGUUCCUAUUUUUUUUUUAUUGCCAUACCUGCAGUAUAUGGAAGUUCCCAGGCCAUAAGUUGAAUAGGAACUGCAGCUGUGCCUAUGCCAUAGCCAUGGCAGAAUGGGGUCUAAGCUACAUCUGUAAUGAUGCCGCAACUUGCAGGCAUGCCAGAUCCUUAACCUACUGAGCCAGACCAGUGAUUUUACCUGCAUCCUCACAGAGACAACAUCAUGUCCUUAACCCAAUGAGCCACAAUAGGAACUCCAUAAAAUUUUCCUAUUUUAUCACCACUAUUAUAUUAUUGUUAUACCCCUUUUUAAUAUUUUGGUGGUUGCCAUAGAAUUUAUAAUAUAAAUCAAAGAAUUUAUCACCACUCCACAAUAUUUAAAGGCCCUUACAAUAGCAUAUUCUCAAUUCUUUCCUUUAAUAUUCUGUGCUGUUAUUGUCAUGUAUUUUAUUUUUACACAUAUUAUGAACACACAACAUACUAUUAUAUUUUUCUUUCAGUCAUUUCUCUGUUAUGGCCAAUUAAAAAAUAAGACUAAAGAGGAGUUCCCAAUGUGGUACAGUGGAAAGCAAUCUGACUAGUAUCCAUGAGGAUGUAGGUUUGAUCCCUGGUAUUGCUCACUGGGUCAGGGAUCUGGUAUUGCUGUGAGCUGUAGUGUAGGUCACAGGCAUGGCUUACAUCCUCUGUUGCUGUGGCUGUGGCAUAGGCUGGCAGCUGCAGCUUUGAUUUGACCCCUAGCAUGGGAACUUCCAUAUGCUGCAGGUA